UAGAACAAUAAACCAACCAUUACAUUUAGACCUGGGCUUUUGAAAAACUUGCAUUCCAUUUUAACAAUUCGUAUGUAUCUAACAAAUACAUAAAUCCAGAUCACAAAUAAUCUUAAGAGUUAAACAAUUAAGAAACACAAAGAAUACCACAUAGAUCUACCUUUAAAUAUCAGCAUUCAUAUUAUAAGAAAUAAGAAAAUGUUAAAAAAAUAAAAUUAGGUUAAGUCACAACAUAAAAUAGAGAAAUAAGAUAAAUGCUAUUUUAUUAAUAUUCAUACUUAUUUCUAAUUUACCUUCAUAUAGUCUUAACUUUUUCAAAAGGAUCCAAGAUAUGAUCAAAUAAUAUUUUAGUAUCUGAACUUGCCAGCCUUAGCUUAUACCAGAGCUUGUUA
rnacentral:lncRNA from 1 species